rnacentral:tRNA from 2 species
GUUAUUUUGGCAGAAUAGUGCAAUGGAUUUAGAAUCUAUUUAUGUAAAUAAAUUUACAGAUAAUA